AAAACCUCUCAGCUUCUGGACCUGGAGGCCAAAAAUUGAUGCUGUCCUGGUACUUCUGCCCCCAACACCAUGGAGACCACAGCAGCCUGGGAUGACUGUCUAGACUGAAAAAAAUCAUGUAAACUUCAGAGAAUUGAAGGAGUCAUAAGACUUGGAUCUACUUCUCACAGGUUAAAAGGACUCCAGAUAAGUACAGCAUAAGUUUCCCUACCUGUCUAUCCCUGAGGAUGGGAUCUCUCUCUCUCUCUCUCUCUCUCUCUCUCUCUCUCUCUCUCUCUCUCUCUCUCUCUCUCCUGGUCUUGGGACUCCUCCCCUCCCCAAUUGCUAGGACUAUGAGCCUGAAAGUUCCAAACGUAAGAUUUUACUUUAAGUUCCUAAAUUUUAACUUUUGUCCCUAGUCUAUAUCUGUCUCAGCAGAUUUCCCCUUGGCUGACAGACACAUCCAAACAUCAGCUGCUGACUACAACAUCCUCCAAACAACUGAGAGCACCAGACUUCCUGAGAGCUGAUGUGGACCAAUCCAGCCAAUGUGGCACCACUCCAAGGGCUGGGGUCCUAGAAUGAAGAACAUGGAGAAAAAAACUGAACACUGGCACUCUGUUUCCUGACUGCACAUGCAGUAUGACCAGAUACCUCAAGCUCCUGCAGCCAAGACCUUCCUUGUUAUGAUGGAACUGUAUCUCCUGAAAUAAACACUUCCUGGCUUAUGUUGA